rnacentral:rRNA from 1 species
CAAUAGCGUAUAUUAAAGUUGUUGCGGUUAAAAGCUCGUAGUUGGAUUUCUGUUCUCGAGGAUCGGUCCGCCUCACGGUGAGCACUGGUUUUUCUUGGGACGAUCCUCUCGAAGGCGGGGUGGUGGCACUUAAUUGAUGUGCUGCUUGGAUUCGGGACCUUUACUUUGAAAAAUUAGAGUGUUCAAAGCAGGCGUCGGCUUGAAUACAUUAGCAUGGAAUAAUGGAAUAGGACUUUGGUUCUAUUUUGUUGGUUUCUAGGACCGAAGUAAUGAUUAAUAGGGACAGUUGGGGCAGUUAUGUAUUUUAAUUGUCAGAGGUGAAAUUCUUGGAUUAUGAAAGACUAACUACUGCGAAAGCAUUUGCCAAGGAUGUUUUCAUUAAUCAAGAACGAAAGUUAGGGAUCGAAGACGAUCAGAUACCA